UCAUGUGUUCAUGUGUUCAGCAGCUUCAUGUGUUCAUCAGCUUCAUGUGUUCAUCACCUUCAUAUGUUCAGCAGCUCCGCCCUGCCUCAGCGUCUUCAUGUGUUCAUCACCUUCAUGUGUUCAUCACCUUCAUGCGUUCAUCAUCUUCAUGUGUUCAGCACCUUCAUGUGUUCAUGUGUUCAGCAUCUUCAUGUGUUCAGCAGCUUCCUGUGUUCAUGUGUUCAUCAGCUUCCUGUGUUCAUGUGUUCAGCAGCUUCCUGUGUUCAUGUGUUCAUCAGCUUCAUGUGUUCAUGUGUUCUUCACCUUCAUGUGUUCAGCAUCUUCAUGUGUUCAUCAUCUUCAUGUGUUCAUGUGUUCAGCAUCUUCAUGUGUUGAGCACCUUCAUGUGUUCAUGUGUUCAGCAUCUUCAUGUGUUCAUCAUCUUCAUGUGUUCAU
ensembl:lncRNA